rnacentral:rRNA from 1 species
AACGAACGCUGGCGGCAUGCCUAACACAUGCAAGUCGAACGAGACCUUCGGGUCUAGUGGCGCACGGGUGCGUAACGCGUGGGAACCUGCCCUUAGGUUCGGAAUAACUCCCCGAAAGGGGUGCUAAUACCGGAUAAUGUCUUCGGACCAAAGAUUUAUCGCCUUUGGAUGGGCCCGCGUUGGAUUAGCUAGUUGGUAGGGUAAAAGCCUACCAAGGCGACGAUCCAUAGCUGGUCUGAGAGGAUGAUCAGCCACACUGGGACUGAGACACGGCCCAGACUCCUACGGGAGGCAGCAGUGGGGAAUAUUGGACAAGGGGCGAAAGCCUGAUCCAGCAAUGCCGCGUGAGUGAUGAAGGCCUUAGGGUUGUAAAGCUCUUUUACCCGGGAUGAUAAUGACAGUACCGGGAGAAUAAGCACCGGCUAACUACGUG